GGCGGCAGGCGGGAGGCCGCGUCGCCCAUGCGGGAGGCGGAGCAGCGGAGGCUGCGGAGGAGCAUGGCCCUGCGGGGAGCCCGGCGGCGGACUGUCCUGGGGGUUGACUGCACUUCUCUACGCGGCGUUGAACCAACGCACCGCCCCGCGCCAGCCUGAGCGGGGACUGACUGUGUGGAGGGGCUGGAAGGAGCAUCAAACUCCAGAGAUCGGCGUCUGCACCACCUAUGUGUGCAAUAAAACCAGAGAAACAGGAAGCAGGGUGUAAGUCCGUGUAGCUGUAUUCCCCUGAGGGUGAAUACAACACGUCUUGCGUGUGUAACACUGCCAGGUUUUCUAAUGCAGAGGCUUUGUGGGAGCCUUACAAGAAGGCAGAAGAAUGGGGGUUGGUUUUUCAAGUAAUCGGAGCUCGUUCUGUGCAUACGGUCACGAGACAGAAGGGGAAUUUGUACAGAACCCUGCGAAGGGAGUUUGUGAGCUGGACAGGGGUCUUGCUCUGAGAGUUGUGGAGUAUGGGAAAACGACAGUGCUCAGGUAAGAGGAAACAGAGAAGGUAUGGGAAAACGACAGUGAGAGGAAACAGAAGGUAUAGGAAGGAUGUGGUAGUAGUUCAAUGCGUAACUCAUCUGGAGGGGUUUGAGAAAGUUGGGUUGUUGGCUGAAUAGGAGAGAAGAUGCUAAAAUGACAGACUAAUGCCUAGUGUGUGAGAGGAAGGUCAGAUAAUUCUCUCAAAAAUGGUCUAUGACAAAGGAAUACAGUUCCGCUCAGCUCGUAAUCAAGCUGGAUUUUACACAGAAAUUACACUCCAGCGAUACAGAAUUUAAUUUGUAUUUAUUUACAGCAACAUUGAGAAUUCCCAGAUGCUCCUACAAGAAUCUAGAGAAGCAGGAAGGCCAUGUUUUAGGAGUCAGGCCUUCUUUAAGAAUUCAGAUAGGAAGCUGAAAGGCAACCUGUCCCAUCUCUGUUUUCAGGUUCAUUGUUCUGUAAGGUGAACAACAUCCUCUGUGAGCACAAGUAGUCCCAAGACUGCAGUCAGUUUUUCAGUUUUCAUUGCAUUUUGAUAGUUAGGAUCAUUGAGAUCAGGACUGAAGAGGAUCUCAGAUGACCUCCAAAAAAAUCUUGGAAGAACCUGAAGAAAAACCAUCAAAUAAAGAAAUUUAAUAGAGAGA